rnacentral:rRNA from 1 species
UUAAGCGACUAAGCGUACACGGUGGAUGCCCUGGCAGUCAGAGGCGAUGAAGGACGUGCUAAUCUGCGAUAAGCGCCGGUAAGGUGAUAUGAACCGUUAUAACCGGCGAUUUCCGAAUGGGGAAACCCAGUGUGACUCGUCACACUAUCAUUAACUGAAUCCAUAGGUUAAUGAGGCGAACCGGGGGAACUGAAACAUCUAAGUACCCCGAGGAAAAGAAAUCAACCGAGAUUCCCCCAGUAGCGGCGAGCGAACGGGGAGGAGCCCAGAGCCUGAAUCAGCAUGUGUGUUAGUGGAAGCGUCUGGAAAGGCGCGCGAUACAGGGUGACAGCCCCGUACACAAAAGCGCAUGUGCUGUGAGCUCGAUGAGUAGGGCGGGACACGUGGUAUCCUGUCUGAAUAUGGGGGGACCAUCCUCCAAGGCUAAAUACUCCUGACUGACCGAUAGUGAACCAGUACCGUGAGGGAAAGGCGAAAAGAACCCCGGCGAGGGGAGUGAAAAAGAACCUGAAACCGU